UCCCAGGCCUGAAGUCCAGGUCUGGAGGGAGAGACCAGGAAAAUCAUCACCAGCCACAGGACAGUCCCGAGAGCUGCAGGGGUCUGUCCAGUCUCAGGUGGGGCCCUGACCCCGGGGCCCAUUCCAUCUCCAGGACACCAAACUGCCUUUCAGUAGAGGACCACUGAGUGGGGUUUCACGGUGGGAGCAGGAGUUCUCCAGCUGGAGGCCGGGGCGGCCAGCGGGCCAGUGGGAAGGGCUCCAGGCAGGUCCAGGAGAAGGUUUGGAGCUGGAGGUGGGAGGGGUCUGGAUCCCAUCUUUUAGACAAAGAGGAGCCAUAAAGACAUUUUAAGCGGCCAAGGACGGUCGGGUGUGCCCAUGCUGAGGGUCCAGUGCGUGUGUUCCUUCUCCAGAAAACGAGCCACCAAGCAGCAGCUUCCCGGGGCUGCACUCCCCUCCCGCCCAGCCUGGACUCUGGUGUCCUGGGAGCCCGUCCCCCUGGUGGUGUUGGUCCCCAGAGUUCUUGGGCUCGCCCCUGGCUACAGCGGCAGGACCUGGCCCGGUCCUUCAGGAGGCUGUUGCCCCGCCCGAUGGACACAGCAGUGGAGGCCUGCGGGGGUCGGCGGUGGGCACGGAGCCACUGUGGGUCACUGCACCCUCAGCCAGGCCCCUGGCCUUGGGUUCCCAGACAGGCCCAGAGGGGGUGCAGCCGGGGAGGGUCACGGUCCACCCAGGCCAUGGUCCUGGCAGCUGCCGUCCCCUCCUGAGGGCCACCCUGGCGCCCACAGCGGGGAGCAGCCUGAAAGCUGGCCGCCGUGACCGUGUCCAAGGGCAUCAGCUCCGGGCGCCAGAGGUCAGCCUGCCUGCGGCCCCGCGGCAGCCCAGGCCGUCAGGGCGCGGCCGGGACACCACACUGGUGCCCGCACCCGUCCACCUGGGGAGACCUCCCCCUGCACCGUGGCCGGCCUCACUCCUUCCCCCAGCGAGUGCCGGGCACCGUCCGCACCCACACGGAGCAGGGAGCGGCGUCCCCUCCAAGAGGGAAGAGCGUGCGGCUUUGUGAGCAGUGGGGACGAAGGACGCCUGCAGGUGUCACCGACGUGGGGACCCUGGCGCGCCCCAGCUGAGCACCGGCUGUGCACAGACUCAUCCAGGCCAGGGGGCUGGGCCGCAGACGCCUGGAUCCCGUCACCACCACCCCCGGCCUUCAGCCCCUCACAGGCCUGCGCCCCACCGUCCUGUAGGCAGGGCCCUGCCCCGCCCUCCGGCCCCCUGAGCUUUCCUGGUGGCCUGGCCCUGAGUCUUUCCCAAGGCCACGGGCCCAGCCUUCUGGCCUCCCAGGGCCUGCCUGGCUCGGGCCGUCCCAGUCUGUCUCUGGACCACCUUGCUUCCUCCUGGGCUCCUGCUGGGGCUCUCCCUCCCAGACCCCCGCCUUCCAGGGACCAGAGAGCUCCUACCAGUGACCCCUGAGCUGGCCCCAACCCGGGCAAGCUGCCCCUGUGCUUCCCAAACCCUGUGAGUGGACAGUCAAGGGGCCACUUUGGCCUGGACCAGGCCCCGCCCAGGCCUUCACUCACGUACUCUCUUACUUAAUCUUAUUAAUUUAACUCAGGUUUCGUGGGGCAAGGACCAGUGCCGUAGCACUGAGCUCCACCCCGGCCCCAAGUUAAGUUAGAAAAGUAACUAAGUGCUCCAUCCCACAGGGAAGGUGGUCUGGGGCAGAGACACCGGCGUCCUGUCCCUGUCCAAGGCUUCCUGCUCCACGCCAGGUCCCCAGGGCUAAGUGGAGCAGACGGCCCCCCAGAUUCAAGGGGUGUUCCCAACUUCCCUUCGCAGUGUGGUGUGGCCAUUUGACCGAGUUCUAAGUGAGCUGAACUGGUGGUGUGUGGAGCUUCCCAGAAGUGCCCUUAAAGAGAGGGGGUAUGGCCUUCCAAAUCCCCUUCUUCCCUUCUACUGGAAUGCAAGCAUGAGAGCUGGAGCACAGGCAGCACUGUUGGAUAAGGAGGAGGUAAACCAACUAGAAGGAGCCUGGCUCCCUAAGGACCACAGAGCCGCCCUCGAAGGCCACAGCAGGACUGAGCUGUGCAGGAGAAGUGCAGUUCUUUUAUUGAAGACACUGCCUCUUGCAGAUUUCAGACGCUUGCCACAAAGUCUCCCCUGCAGUGAAUGUAAAAAUAACGAUGGCUGUCAUGAAAAAGUGGCGUUCUGGAGCCCUCAGGGGCAGCUUCCUCGUCAGAGGACAGAGCAGGUCAUCCACCCAGGUGGAUUUCCUCAGUUUGUUCUGAGGGACCAGCGGGGAACGGAAAGCAAAGAUGUCCUCACCGUGUGGCUCAAGGUGACAGCGCCAAGCUGCUCACCGCACUGCGGCACUGCGCCUGGCGUCCCCGCACCCAGGCCCUGCUGCCCGCCUCUACCUCCGGCCCCAGCCACCAGUCUCCCUGGGGCAGUCACCAGCAUCCAGCGUCCACCAGCAGAUGGUGUUUGUCACCGCGCUCAGCCUCUGGGACUCCGUGACCGGCUUCUCUCUCUGCUCCUCAGCAUCACGCAGCCUCCCUAUGGGCCCUCGCCCUGGCCGAGCGCCACGGUCAGCUGGCCGGGGGACCGGGCGUGUGAGCGCCUCAGCUGCCCGCCGUCCUCCUCCCUGUGAAGUGGGCGCCUUCCUCCAGGGAGUCCACGUGCGUCCUGAGCUUCACAGCCACCAAGCCCCUGGGACACCUGAGGGCAGGGCCAGGAGCUGGCCGCCUGCGACUACUGCCUCAGCCUCGUCCCCUUCACCCAGCAGGUCCCUCCCGGGUCACGGCCUGACUUCCUUGUGGACUGGCCACCCGGGGAUUCACCUUCUGUUUCCACACCCCAGCAGGGAGCUGGGCUCAGCUGGGCUCAGGAAACCGACCGCGGGAGGUGACGGGGUGACAGCGAGACAAAUGACGGGCACCCCCUGCGCCCCGAGCCACACCGUGUUCUCGGCGUGUGCAGGCUCAGGGUGGGGGACCUGGGACCAGGCUCCUGCGGCCCUGCAGCUGCCCAGCUGCUUCCUGAUGCUGGCGUCCUGGGGACGGGCCACACGAGGCUCCGAGCCCCGACCGGGAACCAGGCCUCCUGAUUCUGAGCCAGAGGGGCCCCGUGAGAGUCAGUCCCAGCCUGGGCGCCCGCGUGUGUGUGGGCAGGACGGCGUGUUCCUUCCUGGAGCCAGGGAGUGACUAACGCGCUGCAGGAGGACCAGCAGGUACAGCAGGCCUCGCUGCCCUGCCCUGCGGCCUGGCGGUGCCGCCCCGUCCCAGCACCCAGGGCCUCUCAGCGCCUCCCUCGCCGGGCUCCUCCCUGGCCCCACACACACACACACACACACACACACACACACACACACACACGCUGUGACUGGCUGCCUUCCCGCCUGCGACCCUCCCGCGGGCUGCCCUGCUCACCCCUCCUCCUGGGCCGGGCGCAGGCUGUGAGGCCCUGGGCGACUUCCCGAGCCUCUCUGGGCUUCAUGUAAGAUGCCCCUCAGUCCAGCCCCCUUCAGUGAGCUCCUACCAAGUCUGCGGCGUCUCGGGAGGAGCAGUGGGGACGCUUACUUGUCCCUGUCUGUUCUCUUGUACCUUGAAGUGUCCCGCCAUGUGUGAGGGGGACAUUCAGAUUUUAUUAGGAUAAUAAUGACCAAUGAAAUGAGACUUCGGAAUGGGGAAACCUGUCACCCCAAGCCGUGAGGACGAAGGGUCAGGUCCGGUGCCCAGAAAAAAGGAAGUGCUCACUUAACUCCACCACCUGGGCCGCUGUCCCCCGCCCCUCGCUCCUCCCGUGGCCUCCCCCGCCCAGCCUGGCCUCCUGGAGGGCCGAGGCGACCCGCUGCCCUCCCCUCCGCGCUCUCGCCCACCCCUCCUCCCACCGUCAUCCGCCAUCCUCCUCCCCCUGCCACCCGUCCGUCCUCCCCGUCCAUCACCCACACCUUCAUCUGCCCCGUCACUGCCCGUUGUGCACCUGCUGUGUGCCGGGGGAGGGGGAGACAGACGUCCCGACCUCCGCCUCAUGGAGACCACUUUCAGGUGAUGUUCGGGUUCAGAUGUGAGUGUCCCCAGAAGCUCCUGUGUGAGAGGGUGCAAGGAGGUUCCGGGAGCCUCAGCCUGCUCAGUGCGUUGGUUGCUGUCAGGGACUGCCGGCCACUGUGGGCAGGUGGGGUGUGGCUGGAGGAGGCGGGUCACUGGGGACCUGCCUUGGGGUUUCUGUUUUGUCCCUGGUGAGCGGAGCACUCUCUGCGUCCUGGUGGCCGUGGCCUGGGCUGCUUCCCUCCGACACUGUCCACCACGGCGUUCUGCCCCGCCUUGGGCCCAGAGCACUGGUCGGCCUCUGUGGCCUGAGACCUGACCCCAGAGACCCCGUGAGCCUUUCCUCCUCCGCACUCGUUCCGUCAGGUCUUUGGGUCCCAGUGCUGAGCCCCGACGUGGCCGGGGAGGCCAUCAGAGGGCCUCUACUCCGCAGUGUGCGGCUGUUGCUGGGCUGGACGCCCGUGUCGAGGCCCAGGCUGGAGGAGGGCAGCGACGUGGGGCAUGCUCCCCGUGGGCAGGAGGCAGGGUGGCAGGCCAGCCUGGAGCCGGGAGCUGAGCAGGGGGAGCUGGGAGGACCUCAAGGUCCCGGAGGGAAUCUGAACUGGGUCCUAAGCGCAGGCGUUGGGGCCUGGCACAUUCAGGUGUGGAGGGACUGGGGGGACGUGUCCUGUGUGUAAGGCAAGAGGUCCUGUGUGUAAGGUUCUGCAAGAGCCCAGUGGGAGGCAGGGUCUGGCAGGCGGGAGGGGCUGCAGGCGGGAAGCUCAGGAGACUGUGGCAGAGGGGACAGAGUGGGGGUCCUGCUGGCUUUCCACCCCGCCGAAACAGCGCCCCCAAACCAGGAGGCUUGCAGCAGGGAUCUGCUCUUUCAGAUCCUGGAGGCUGGUCCCAAAUUGUGGAGGGGCAGGCUCCUAGCUCCCUGCAGAGGCUCGGGGUCCAGCUGCCUCGUCCACUACUGGCAGCUCUCAGCAGCUCUUGGCAGGCCACUACAACCCCUGUCCCUGUCACGGUGGCCAUGGCCUGGUCCCUGUGUGUUUACCUGAUCCUCUUACAAGGCCACCAGUCACCGAGUUAGAACCCACCCCUGUGCAGCAUGGCCUCAGCCAAAGCUCUCUCCGCAGACCAGCUCAAGUUUGAUGCUCCAGGUGGACGUCACGUUUGGGGGACACACUCUUCACCCCAGCACAGGGGCCAGCAGCAUCUAAAUGGUCAUGGUCAUCGGAGAGAGCAGAUGGCGGGGAGAGGGCUGGUGGCAGCCCUCAGCAAUGUGUAAGGGGUCGCCAGAGGAUUAGGCGCCCCACAGGUCCAGCUGUGGAUGCCGAGUAACAGAAUCGCGGACCUGGACUCCUGGACCCCAGGCCUCCUGGGGCACCUGCGCCCAGCCUGGCAGCCUCCCCGCCUCCCCUGGCCCGGCCUCCACUGUGCCAGCAGAGCCCCUCACUGCACGUGACGAGCGGAGCUCAGCUGGCGGCCUCUGCCCCUUCAGGUGUGCCAGGCCUUCCCCAGCCAGGCCCAGGUGCCCGCAGGUCCAGCCCCACAGCACCCUGCUGGCACUGAGGCCUGUGGUCACUCCUACAUCACAGAAGAGAAAACCUGAGGCCCAGGAAGUGGGGGUCCAGGGUCAGAUCUGGAGGGCUGGCCCCUGGCUUGUCACUGGAUGGCUCCAGCACCACCAGAGGACGUUCAGGCCAGGCCUGGGCUCUGCUCCCGGGCUCCCUGAAGCUGCCCAGUCCGGCCCUGCCUGGGGCCGCUGCCUGCGCUGCCCUCUGCCUCCUAGGACAGAGCAGGUGUGGGCCUGAGCCUUGGGCCGGGGGCAGGAGGUUCCCGCUGGGAUGGCCGCCGCUGUCUCCGGCCUGGAGCUCUGCCCCAGCGAGGCCCCCAGGCCCAGGAGGAGAGCCUGGAGCCCCUUCUUCUUGGGCAAGUCCCUGCGAGGCCAGCGAGGGGCCCUGCCAGCUCCGCUCCCACACAGCCCUCCUGAGCUGACGCCACGGGGCGGAGACGCCUACAGGAAGACCACCCGCCUCCCCGCCACGAGGGCGCCUCCCACCCCGUGCUUCCAGGACCCUACCUCCAGCGCGUCUUCCGCGAGGGCCACCUGUGUGCUCGGCCCCUGGCCUCACAGACCGUCCCAUGUAGUGGGACGGGAGAGAACCUGGUCAUCUGGCUCCGGGCCCUCCAGAUCUAAGCUCACUGCCCAGGGCCCUGCUUCUCCCUGCCCCACCUGCCCCUGGGCAGGAACACCAGGGAGGGAGGGGGAGGAGCUAGGCGGGGGCUCCUGCAGGGUGGCUCCCGGAGGAGGCCUGGGGACCCAGAGGCCGGGAGCCAUCAGCUUCACGAAGGCCCGGGCAGGGUGCUCUGGGCAGGUAGAGUACAGAGGCCCUGGGCAGGAACAGUGUGGCAAGUUGGAGGGCCACACGGGAGGCCCACGCACGGAGCUGUGAGCUGCAGAUGCCCUCUGCGUGCUCUGGAAGCCGGUGGGGGGGGGACCCCAUUGGGCCAGCGGCGCAGGGAGGUUUCCUUGAUGCAGGCCACCUGAUGAGCUGGGCUGAGGGGCAGGGCUCUGGAGACCAGGACCCCCCGGCGCCGCCCAGCCGCCUUCCCGCCUCGCGGACGCUGCCAGGACUGGGAAGCUCUUCUGGAACGCAGAGCAAGGGACGCAGCCUGUGACCAGGCCGCAGGAGCCUGCCCCCGGCCAGUUCCCGUUGGGCGUAAGUGGUGAGAAACGGGCUGGAGGCCGGGAGAACCUGUUUUUCAGCCACCAGGGACGCGGCAGGGCACCCUGAGCUCUGGCCUUUAAGCAAAAGCCACAUCACCCCCCGGGGUCCAGGUCACCCACACAGAGGUUCAGGGUGUGUGCAAAAUGGUGUCCGGUGCAUGACAGGAAGGUCACUUGUUUUCUCUCUGGAAAGGACUCGUCCCCACUAGGACCAGCCAGCUGCACAUCCAGACAGUGUGUGCCUUGGCAGGGACACCGAGGCUCCAGAGGCCUUGGGGAGCUCCCUGGGUCCCAGGAUGGCACAUGCACAGCUGACGGGGACUUCUGGGACAGCAGUUGCCCCCUCGAUAAUGCCUGGGCACCUGCUUCAUGCCCAGGACCCACACGGAUGGACACGCAGACGGACAGACUAUGCCCUGGUGCAGCUCAUGGGAGAGGAGGGGGGUCCUGCUUCCAAUCCAGGCAGCCCCUGCUGGGCCCCUCUUCUGGGCCGCUGGGUCCCCCUGCUGGCUAAGUCCUCUCGUGUGCAGUCCUGAGGAAGGCCACCUUUCAUCAGAGGUUAAAGGGUCCCCUCCUGUUCCGGGAGCCCCAGCUCCCGGUGCCGUGACUCCACGGGACAGGCCCUCUGUCGAGUGGCAGCACUGGGUUACCACAGCGUUUCCCAGCUGUCCCUUGGGCCCUGCAGGAGGGACUGUGGCUUGACCCCGUGCGGCCCGCACUGCCUCUCCAGCCGGGGACCCGCUUCUGGCCUCUGCCUCUGGUGGCCGCGCCCACCCCUGCUUCUUCCAGGCCUGUUCAGACCCACCCAAGUACAAAGAGGGGCCGUGGGCAGCCUGGAGCGUGGACACCUGAAAGUGUGGGAAAGUCUCGGGCCCCAGCAGGCCCCAUGUGAGCGCCCAGGUGAGGAAGCCGCACAGGCCCACGAGGGCCCAGGCCCAGGCCCAGGCUCAGGCUCUGUUGGUGCAGAACAUCUCUCACCGGGUCUCACCAGGGUCUCGCCCUGUGGUGCUGGCUGACGCUGGUCUGCUGUCACACCUUGGGAACAGAGAUGUCGUAGGCAGGCGGUGCUGAGGGCGGGCAGACAGAUGACCACUGUGUCCGUGUCAGAGGCGGCACGUCCUGGGCUGCCCUCUGUCCCCGAUCCUCCCACCCCAGCCUCCCAGUCCUUGGGAUCACAGGUGUGUGCCCUGUGCCGGCUGGAAACAGGGUCUUCAAAGAGGUGACUAAGAUAAAGUGAGGUCACUAGGGCAGCCCUCCUCCAGUAGGACUGGGGUCCGUGGAGGAAGAGGCAACCAGGACACAGAUACACGGGGGACACCAUGCGAGGACACAGGGAGACACAGGCCCGUCUCGGAGUGAAGCUCUCCUCAACGGCCGGUUCUCACAGGGAACCCUCAGCCUGGGACUCCAGACCAGCACACGGGUGGCAGAGAGGACCGACGCACAGGCCCAGGCCCAGCACCAGGGCCCGGCUGGGCAUCGGUCCAUCCAGCCCAGCUGGUCUGUCGCCCCCUCUGGUUCCCCUGGGGGACGCUCAUUUCCUCCCCUGUGGAACCAGAGGCCAUCCUCCUAGGACGCCUCUGGGCCUCAACGGGCUCCCGCCCAGGGCACCUCGCUGGGCGCAGCCCGGCUCUUUUCAACCAGAUGUCGAUUCCUUGUCCACUGCUCGGCUCUUCCACCUGGACCAUGCAUUCUGGCGCCUGGACUUAUUGAUGUAUUUCCAGCGUCUGGCCUGGUGCCCGGCACACGGCGGCAAGUGAAUGAAAUGUGAAAAAAUCACACUCUGUCGGAGCUGCGGCAGAGCAUCCCAGGGCCUUUCUGCUGCCCUGCGCAGUCCUGGAAGCCCCCGGAGGUGCUCAGAGCACAUGCCCGGUGUCCGUCCCUGAGGUGUCCUCCAGGUGGCUCAGGAGGCACAGGCUCCCCGUGCUCUGCCUUCAGGGUGGCAGUAAGCACGGCUUCCCAAGAGCCAGUAGAGGACUGGGUGUGGCUCAGUGACCAGUGCUUACCUAGCAGGUGAGAGGCCCGGCGUUCUGUCCCCAGCACCGAAAAAAUGACACAGUCGCCAAAUUCCCAGCUGAUGUCAGCCUCCCAGCCGGGGAAUAACAACCGGGUUCUCUAUAAAUAUCUAAUGUUUAAAAGAUUAGUUGUCCAAUAUGAUAAUAGUUUUUUUUUCUUUUUUUUUGUUAUGUUUUGGGUACUGGGAAAUGAACUCAGAGGCAUUUUGCCACUGAAUUACAUCCUCAGCCCUUUAAAUUUUUUUUUUAAAGAGAGAAUAUGAAUCUUUUUUGUUGAUGGACACAACACAAUGCCUUUAUUUAUUUUUUUAUAUGUUGCUGAGAAUCGAACCCGGGUCCCGCCCAUGCUAGGGGAGUGCUCUACCGCUGAGCCACAAACUCAGCCCCCCUCAGCUUUUUAAAAUUUUUGUUGUUAGACAGGGUCUCGCUAAGUUGUGGAGGCUGGCCUCAAACCCACAAUCCUCCUGCCUCAGCCUCAGUCUGUGGGGUCACAAGCGUGCACCACCAUGCCCGUCCCAAUCUGAUAAUCUUGAUUUUUGUUUCAUGACAAAUAUUUCAGCUGCAGAAAAAUUCCUUAGGAGCGUCCACAGGCAUGUUUAAGUUGGGCAAUAGGGAGGUCUAGGUACCCGUUUUAAUCGUGGUGAAAUCUACACAACUCGCAGUCUCCCACCACAAGCAUGUUCAGGCUCACAGCUGGUGGCGCUUAGAGCAUCCCUGGCCUUGCGUAACUCACCCCAGAACUCUCUUGCAGCCAGCUGGAGGCUCGGUGCGGUGAACACUGUCUCCCCCGCCCCCAGCAAGGACCCCCACCACCCUCCUUCAGAGUCAGGACUCUCUCCACAGGAGACCACUAGGUCUGUCCCCUGCUUUGGCUGGUGGGGCUGGAGGUCUUGCAGGGCCACCUGGGGUUCCUUUUGUAAUGCUGAAAGGAUUUCACCUGCAUGAGGGGGGUGGGGGAAGCCCCAGGCCCAGAGUGGAGGCCGGGGCUGGUGGUGCCUGCCACUCAGGGUGGGCGAGGGAGGAGGCCGGCCUUUCCAGGACCCCCCCCCAUUCCUCUCCCUGGUGAUGCACACACACAGGGGUGUGUUUGCUUUUCAAGAAGGGCUCUGAGGCCAGGCCAGACUGUCACCUGCCACAGGGCACGCCUAGGAGCCAGGCUGGAGGCUGGCCGUUGCUCUCCAGGGGCUCUUUCCAGAGUCCUCAGCCUUGACCUUGAAUGCUGGUGACAGCAUCGCCCUUGUAUUUGACUUGACGUCAGUGGAUUCCUUUGAACCAGUGACCUCUCCAUGUCCAUUGUUAAGUUUAGGUCUCCAAGGAGAGUGAUAAUACCUCUCCCUCCCUCCCUCCCUCCCUCCUUUUAUGGUACUGGGGAAUCAACCCAGGGGUGCUCUAUCACUGAGCUGUACCCCAGCCCCCUUUUCUCUCUCUCUCUCUUUUUUUUUAUUCGUUGUUCAAAACAUUACAAAGCUCUUGACAUAUCAUAUUUCAUACAUUUGAUUCAAGUGCAGCCCCCCUUUCUCAAUCUCUUGCCUUAUUUUCAUUGCGAUUGGGGUUGGGAAGAACGUAAAUGUCCUGAGAAACAGUAGGAAGGAGUUUUAUGGGAAGAUAAGGAGCAAAGUCGUCCCUCAUGAACUCAAGAUGGCUGCCACAGUCCCAGUCCUCAAGGGCAGAGUUCCAAAGAGUGAGACUUUCUUCUGCUCUCUCUUUUAUCAGAGAUUAAGAUCCCACAACACCUGUACAUUUUCCCUCACGAGAACAGGGUCUCAGCUCCUAGCCUACCAAGGGCAAAGGGAACAAGAUGCUGGUGGAGUGGGACCAACACUGGUUCCUUUUGGGGCGGGUGGGAUGAGCAUGAACCCGAUAAACAGGGCUUUCUCUAGCGGUAAGUGUCCCCACGGAGCUUCCCCCCCCACCCCACCCCAUAGCAAUCAGAGAUGGGCUGCCAUCCCUGCUUCACAGCCGGGGAGACUGCGGCCACUUGCCUGAGAGGACACAGCCAGCGACGGAGAAAGAUGCAGAGGCAAAAGUCCAGUCAGGCAGCUGCCCUCCAGAGAGGUCACUACUGAGUGGACAGCCCCUCCAGAGAGGGCGAGGUGGCCAGAGGGAGCCAGCGGGAGUGCCUCGGGGAGCCCACAGUGAGCGCUCCAGUGGGGGUGUCUGUCGGAGUCCCCUCUUUGACAGGGAGGAGGUUGGGGCCCAGGUAGAGGUGAAGGGACACCAGCUCCGCCUGCCUUCCCUGCGGAGGCUCCUUUGUGAACCCAGGGAAGCUGCCCAGAGCAGCAGGCGGCAAAAUGUUUGGGACUCGGCUUCAAAGCAUGGUUACAGGUGGAGUGAGGCCAGGGCAGCGCCCCCCACUGGGGGCUCUGAGGGCACCUGGCGAGGCACCUGGGUGGGUGACAGAUCAGAUCAGGUGGCGGGAGCCAGAUCCCGCUCCCCACGGUGGGCACUGGGUUCGGUGCUUUGCAGCUUUGAGGGCCUGGAGACCCUGAUGGCUGGAGCCCCUCCCUGCUCCCACAGCCGUGAGCUUGGGGUGCAGGACGCUUGGCCCCGUCCAGGCUCCGUGGUCUCCCUCGCGAGAGAAGGCAGCUGCGCUGGCGAGGACGUUGAAGCGCUGCAGAUGUGGUCCUCCACCCCGCCCAGGGGUGCCCACGUCCUGGAGCUGACCCCAACAGAGCCAGGCCCUGACAGAUGCCCAUGACCCCUGUUCCCACUGUUUGACUUACCAUGACAACAGAACAGCCACAGAGACAAGGACACUCGGGCCCACGAGCUCCCGGCCCAGCAGCCACCAGGCCCUCUGAUCCAGCACUGCCACGUGGAAGAGUCGAGGACAGCUCAGUGGAGACUUGUGCCAGGGACGAAGCGGGGUGAGACCACUCCCUGGUCGCUACAGAGGGAUAGCCCGGCAGUGAGGGACCCCAGGUUCAGUCAGAGCCCCAGUCCCAGCUCUGCCACACGGCAGCUGAGCCAUCUGUUCCCUGAGAAAUCCUGUUUGCAUCCCUGGGCUUUGGGCUCCUCCUCUUAGGGGGCCACAUUGUCCAGUGCCCACCCCACUGGGCUUUCCCAGUUCAGAGCAGUGUCACUACAGACCUCCUGUUAGGGAGCUUCUCGUUCUGGAUGGUCAGGGCCCCUCCCCAACCUCAGCAGGGUCCUCCUUCUUGGGCUGCUUAUGUCUCAAGAAGGGAGGAGCCUCCUGUGUCCUGCAAUGCUCCUGGUUGAUAACUGCAUUCAACCCUUUUCUGUUGCUAUAACAACAUGCCUGAGGGUGGGUAUUUUGUAAAGAAGAGAGGUUGAUUUAGCUCACAGUUUCUGAGUAAAGAUCUGUAAAGAUUUCAUAGUGGGUGGCAUUAUAGUGAUGGGAAUGUGUGAAGACACCUCCCGCCAGCCUGGAAGCCAGAGAGUGGGGAAGGGCUUACUCUUAUCUUCCCCCUGGUACUGGGGGUCAAACCCAGGGCCUCAGGCAUGUUAGGCUACGGAGCUCCAUCCCCAACCCUUUCUAAAAUUGUUUUGUGAGACAGGGUCUUGCUAAGUUGCCCAGACUGCCCUCCCACUUGCCAUCCUCCUGUUUUGGCCUCUAGAGUAGCGGGGAUUGCAGGUGUGUGCCCCAGGGAUUGCAGGUGUGUGCCACAGUGCCUGGCUGCUCUUGCUCUUUUUUGUAACAACUCACUGUCUUGGGAACCAACCAGCAUCUCAAGAGAAUGAUGUCACCCCUCCAGCCCCCUCCCCACCUCAUCUCCUCCCAUGAGCCCCUUUGAAAGAUUCUACCAUCUCUGAAGACCACCAGGCAGGGGACUAAGCUUCCAGCACACGACCCUUUGAGGGUCAGACCAAACCAAACCCUAGCCGUAGCUACACCAUCCAGAUGCCUUCCAGAGAGCAGCUGGCGGCCUCUGCGGCAGCCCCGUCUGGGAGAUCAGACUCUGGGUAUGGUAGUAAAUCUGCUUCCUCCGGCCCUGCUGCACAGAGUCUUUAACAGAAGAACUGGACAGAAAGCUUUUCCAUCUUCAUUGUUUUCUGAUAGAGCCUUCUGAGGCUACCACCCAACUCCGAAAUGUGCUUCAGACAAAAGCUUUUGGGAAGUGGUUUAUUGGGUGGUGUGGAGCAAAGCCAUUUCAGCUUCCAGAAGGCAAUUCCUCACCAUCUGUCUCGCCUUGGCUUUAUCGAAGUAAUGUGCUUGGGAGGUUUUCCUAAUGAUAAAAAUAAUGCACAUUCACAA